GAUGAAGAACGCAGCGAAAUGCGAUAAGUAAUGUGAAUUGCAGAAUUCCGUGAAUCAUCGAAUCUUUGAACGCACAUUGCGCCCCCUGGUAUUCCGGGGGGCAUGCCUGUCCGAGCGUCAUUUCUGCCCUCAAGCACGGCUUGUGUGUUGGGUGUGGUCCCCCCGGGGACCUGCCCGAAAGGCAGCGGCGACGUCCGUCUGGUCCUCGAGCGUAUGGGGCUCUGUCACUCGCUCGGGAAGGACCUGCGGGGGUUGGUCACCACCAUGUUUUACCACGGUUGACCUCGGAUCAGGUAGGAGUUACCCGCUGAACUUAAGCAUAUCAAUAAGCGGAGGA
rnacentral:misc_RNA from 1 species